rnacentral:rRNA from 1 species
GACGAACGCUGGCGGCGUGCUUAACACAUGCAAGUCGAACGGAAAGGCCCUGCUUUUGUGGGGUGCUCGAGUGGCGAACGGGUGAGUAACACGUGAGUAACCUGCCCUUGACUUUGGGAUAACUUCAGGAAACUGGGGCUAAUACCGGAUAGGAGCUCCUGCUGCAUGGUGGGGGUUGGAAAGUUUCGGCGGUUGGGGAUGGACUCGGGGGUUAUCAGCUUGUUGGUGGGGUAGUGGCUUACCAAGGCUUUGACGGGUAGCCGGCCUGAGAGGGUGACCGGCCACAUUGGGACUGAGGUACGGCCCAGACUGCUACGGGAGGCAGCGGUGGGGAAUAUUGCACAAUGGGGGGAAGCCUGAUGCAGAAACGCCGCGUGCGGGAUGAAGGCCUUCGGGUUGUAAACCGCUUUCGCCUGUGACGAAGCGUGAGUGACGGUAAUGGGUAAAGAAGCACCGGCUAACUACGUG